AGAGUGGGCCAGGCGGCCGCUCGCGGCGCGCCGGACGUGCCGCGGGAGGAAAGUCCGGACUGGACGGGCACGGUGGUCGCUAACGGCGACCGGGGGCGACCCCAGGGAAAGUGCCACAGAGAACAGACCGCCGAUGGAGGCCGCUGUAGGGUGGGCGGCGCCCACCAGCCAGGGACUGCGGUCGAUAUAGAUGGUGGGCGGUGCCCACACCCUACAGCGCUUCACAGGCAAGGGUGAAACGGUGCGGUAAGAGCGCACCGCGCGUCCUGGUGACAGGCGCGGCACGGCAAACCCCACCGCCAGCAAGCCCAAGUAGGGGGCGAUGAGCCGGCCCGGCUCGUGACCAGCCCCGGGUAGGGUGCUUGAGCCGGUCGGGAACGACCGGCCCAGAGAAAUGGCCGCCGCCCGCUUUCGGGUGGCACGCUCUGGCGAAGCCAGGCCGUGCGAGCCCGCAGGCGGGGACAGAAUCCGGCUUACCGGCCCACUCUGCCG
rnacentral:RNase_P_RNA from 1 species